rnacentral:rRNA from 1 species
UACGUAGGGUGCGAGCGUUAAUCGGAAUUACUGGGCGUAAAGCGUGCGCAGGCGGCGCGUUAAGACAGGUGUGAAAGCCCCGAGCUUAACUUGGGAAUUGCGCUUGUGACUGGCGAGCUGGAGUGUGGCAGAGGGAGGUGGAAUUCCACGUGUAGCAGUGAAAUGCGUAGAGAUGAUGGAGGAACACCGAUGGCGAAGGCAGCCUCCUGGGCCAGCACUGACGCUCAUGCACGAAAGCGUGGGGAGCAAACAGG